rnacentral:lncRNA from 1 species
GAAGAGGUGGGUUCAUGAUUUUUUGUAGAAUUUUCACAAGGUUCCUUCUCCCUCCUGAUGUGAAAAAACAGAUGAGAAGCGAGCGUAAGAUUCAAAUUUCGCGCGGUUCCUGCCUACUGAGUACUGAAGCACGUCAUGAGAAUGGAAUUUCGCCAUUCUAUUGGCCGGUUUCGGAAGGGACUCAUGUAUACAGACUCUAUCAAAAUUCAAUUCAUAGUUCAUACAAGGCAGCUCCUACACAUCAGUUUGAAUUCAUUAUAGCGUUCGGAAUCACGGCGCCUGGAGUCUAUUAUUUACUUAACAAAUUCCUUUUAGUCUGGAAGUGGUAAGCUCAAAGCUGGCGGGUUCCAAUACUUGUAGUUGGCUAGUUUGCAGUUAGUACUUGAACUGUAUGUUAGUGCACGGAGCUUUUCCUUUGUUUUCCCUUUGAAUAGUUUUAGUUUUGAUCUUUCUUUCGUUCUUUCUCUCUUACGUUCUAGCUUUAUAAUACGUUCUAGGUACAUACAUAUAGGUCCACAUUUUUAUUAUAAAGCAAGAGGAACAUCACCAGCAUGUUUCAAUUUUCAAUGCGAGAACUGUGAUGCCAUAAUGGCAGAAGCCACUUUCUUGUCUACAUCUCAAAUAAUAGAAAUUGCACGGGCGUGAAAUCUACGUACAGCAGUGAUGAGAUUCUGGAAUUCCAUUGUCUGCAAUGUCUACCCCUAUAAUUGAAGAGCAGAUUUGAAGCUGUAGUUUUGCAAAAUUUCAUGUUCGAUGAUGAUGCUGAUGAUUAUGAGAAUUCUCAAUUUCAACAACUUCCGGCCACUUCCUCCUUCAACGAUAAACUGUCGGUUCCUGCUGCCUAGAACCAUAGAUAAAGGAUAAUAUUUAUAUUUCUUGUCUCUACUAGAACGUUGUGGUCAUUUUAUAAUCACUCCUUCCAUUACCGACACACAAGCCAAGGGCUAAUGUGGGUAUCACACUCCAAAAAUAAUACUUCGACACUGCAGUAUUUCAGCACUUGUUUAUAAUAAACAAUGACGAUUUUCUAAGAGAAGAAUAGUUUGAAAAAAUCCUAGUAUAGCAUAAAAUAACACCAAACAUAUUUUUUGCAGGCUUCAAAUAGAUUGAAUUAAGUUAUUGUCAAUGAGAGCAUUUAUUCAAAGGAGAGGAGCACAGAGGUGCGUGAAGCUACCUCGUUGUGAAGAGCAGACCGUUGGGUGUGUACUUCAGCGACUCGAGUGACAGUUUGUAUUGUAGCUCACAGGACUCUAAUAUUUUGUUAUUGACCAAGGAGCUCAGCAAAUCUGACAAUGAGUGUACUGAGGCUACAGACCGUUAGGUGUGUCUCAUAACCCCCCAUGGGCAAUUCUCCUGACGAAUAAUGUUGUAGAAAUUCACUUAGACCGCGGGACUAUAUUUUAUUAUAGAACUAUUGGACUAUUGUGAAUUUCAACAUUUCUACAUGAAAAUAAUCUUUCUUCACUUUGAGCCUACAAAUUAAAAUGAGUUACAUAUUUAAAUUCAAGUGCAAUUAUAUUCUCUUUUCCAUAGUUAAUGUCUUGUUUAGAAUUCACAAUAAUUUUAUUCCACCGAAAUAUAUAUUUAUAUUAAUUCUAAACAUAAAUAAAUUUUAAUAUUCAUAUAUAAUAUUACUCAUAAUAACCAAUAUGAGAGAAAUGUAGAUUCAAUUAUAUAUUUUCAAUUCUAAACAUCCAAAAUCAAAACGGAGUUUUCAUCAGUCAAAAGCUUGUCAGUAAUCUUGUUUUAUUUUUUAUAAUAAUAGUUUACAACAUACAAUAUAAUUAUGUUAAUAUUUCAGUCGAAAUUCUGAAUGUGAAUGUGAAACUUGUUGCUUCGUUUUUCAAUAGAAGAAUACUAUCAAUUAUUAUUAUUUAUAAUAUUAGAAUUAUGUAUAAUAAUGAUCAUUAUUGAUAAAAUCUUGAACAUUUUAUUGAAUAAAUUGAAAUGAAUGGGGUUUAUUAAAAUUUAUUUUCAUUGGUGUCAACGUUCUAAAAAUUAAGGUGGACCAAUAACGGUAUUGUCAGUUCCACAUAAUUUAUAUUAGCCAAACUUGAAGUUUCAAUGCACUAGGGCAUCAUCUUCAGUGGUAUUUUUCUCAAAGAAUGAUCUAAGAUGGUCUCUAUCUAAAAGACCACUCACUGAAGAUGAUGCCUUGAAACUCAAGUUUGGCUCAAAUAAAUGAUGUGAAACGGACAAUAUCGUUUUUAUUCCACCUCAAUAUGGAAAAAUUCCACAAUAUCUCUGUUCAUAGUGUAUAAGAGAUGUUUUAAUGUUUACAUGAGUAUAAUUAAUUGUAGAUUUAAGUGAAAUUUUUAAUAUUUUUGGCGAUUGUGAAGGAAGAUUUUUGUUUUGAUUUGUAUUUUGAAAUUAAUUAAUCUGAUAAAUUCAAAGUUGUAGAAGAUACAUUUUUUUGGACUCAAAAUAGAGUGUGAAUUAAGUUAUAAUUUUUACAAAACCUCUAGACUAUGUAUUCCAAAUUGAGGUUUAGAGCAGUUUUGGGCGAAUGCCUGUUGUUUUUACCUGGAUUGUAUUUGUACAUGAAUAAAUAAAUAAGUUCUAAAAAUAGGUCAAGAAUUUCAUUUUUAUAGUUGCAUACUGUAUUUUUCAUACAUAUUCAUGGCAUGGCACACUGAAUUAUUGAUUUGUACUUGUGUAUUUUACCUAGUCAGAAAUAUUAUAUUGACUUCAAUCUAAUUUGCCAAAGGAAAAAUGUAUAAUGUAAUUUUGUCUAUUGUCAAUCUUAUUUUGAAUAGAUUAUUAGACUAGUUGACUACUAAAUCAAGUCUUUGUUGCAAAGUGUUUUUCUAAAGUUUGUAAAUCUUACAAAUUAUUGGAUUGUAAUCCAAUACCUAUAUUUUUGAAAUUUAUAAUUCACUGAGAUGAGUUGUCAUGAGAAAGUUUUUUAAAAGGCAAAUUUAUUCAUGUCAAAUCAAAUGUUUUGUUUUUCAUUUUUAUAUUUUAUUCAUCUUCUUUAAUUCCAAUAUUCGAUAUUUUAUACAUCUAGGCCUGAAUCUACCAUCAUUUAUUAUCUAUAGGUCUUAAAUUAUAAUAGGGCAAAUUAUCUGCAAUAAAAAAUGCGCAAUUCUUGAGAGGUAAAAAAUCGUAUAAGAUUGUGCAUUUCGAAAAAAAAUGACUAAGGUUGUUGGAUAAACUUUUAUCAUACAACUUGUUUUUUGGCUGAUUCAUGUGCCUUUCUUGAAAUUGCCUUUGUUGUUUGAUGACAAUAAAUUCCAUCCACUUAUUAUUUA